rnacentral:rRNA from 1 species
AUUGAACGCUGGCGGAAUGCUUUACACAUGCAAGUCGAACGGCAGCACGGACUUCGGUCUGGUGGCGAGUGGCGAACGGGUGAGUAAUGUAUCGGAACGUGCCCAGUCGUGGGGGAUAACGUAGUGAAAAUUACGCUAAUACCGCAUACGAUCUAUGGAUGAAAGCGGGGGAUCGCAAGACCACGCGCGAUUGGAGCGGCCGAUAUCAGAUUAGGUAGUUGGUGGGGUAAAGGCCCACCAAGCCAACGAUCUGUAGCUGGUCUGAGAGGACGACCAGCCACACUGGAACUGAGACACGGUCCAGACUCCUACGGGAGGCAGCAGUGGGGAAUUUUGGACAAUGGGCGAAAGCCUGAUCCAGCCAUUCCGCGUGCAGGAUGAAGGCUCUCGGGUUGUAAACUGCUUUUGUACAGAACGAAAAGGUUUCUACUAAUACUAGGAGCUCAUGACGGUACUGUAAGCAUAAGCACCCGCUAACUACCUGCCAGCCGCCGCGGUAA